CGAACGGGUGAGUAACGCGUGAGGAACCUGCCUCAAAGAGGGGGACAACAGUUGGAAACGACUGCUAAUACCGCAUAAGCCCACGGCUCGGCAUCGAGCAGAGGGAAAAGGAGCAAUCCGCUUUGGGAUGGCCUCGCGUCCGAUUAGCUAGUUGGUGAGGUAACGGCCCACCAAGGCGACGAUCGGUAGCCGGACUGGGAGGUUGAACGGCCACAUUGGGGCUGAGACACGGCCCAG
rnacentral:rRNA from 1 species